rnacentral:tmRNA from 1 species
ACUGGUACUGUGAUACAAAAGGUUUGUCAGCACGAAGCUGUUCUUGACAUAGGAGGUCUUAUCUGGAAAUGGGUGACAGACAAACAAUUUUAGCAGUCUCUCAGGCAAUCCUGUAGAUGUAAAUUUGUAGGUGUGUGGCAGGCGAAUGCAGCGACCCUGGCUGUAGAUACCCGUGUCAAAUAAAAACUCUGUUGAAGAGAUUGAGGGGAAUAGUUCACACACUCUUUUGUUCAGUCUGAUAGUUCUGUUUAUCACUCUUGCUAGAGUUAUUAGUGGUGUUGCUCCAACUAUAGCAUGUCUCAUUGGUAAUGGUGUAAUUAUUCGGAGUCCAAUCUUUUUGCUGCAGGUACAAAAUGGUCGUGGUUCCAUAUAUAUAUCAGAGUUACACUCUGACUUGAAGAAAUAGACGGGAUGAGACGGGGGCAUCUCCAGGUUUAGGAUUGUGCUGAGGACAGUAAUUAUGUCCUGGCGAAUCUGCAGACACAGAUUGUAUAUGUCUUCAAUUUUAUAUCCUGGAACUUCAACUGGGAGAUCAAAAUCCAGAAUGACAUUAUAGAUUGGCAGAUGAGGGUUGAAGUAUUCGUGCCUGGAAACCAUGAGAUUGUCCUCAACCGUGUUGCUCGUGCAACCAUUAACACAGUAGGUCAAAAGUUCAGUGAUUCUCACGUCUGUUAAUUCAUCUAAAUUAAUUGAGUGGGGGAAAAUGACGUGCUUCUUCCAGUAGUCUUCUAUAGAAUCUGUUGCCACCAUCACAAAAUAAGUCUUGUUUUUAAAUUCACUUCUGUACGUGGGACAAAUUGGCUUUUCUGGGAACAGAAUGUCCUUUGGGUUAUCAAGUUCUUGUGGAGAUAAGGAUGCUAGUUUCAAUAACUCUUUCAGGCUGGACUCUGAGCUAUAAAAAGGAAAAUCCUCGUUGAUGGAAUCAAACAAGGCUGUCAGGUCCGAUGUCUGUCCAAACCAGGCCUGGAGAGUACCUGGGGUAUCUCCAUACGACCCUAAGCUGGCUCCAGGUACACGGACAACCUUUGUCAAUAGAUGGGUGUGAAUAUAUUUUUCCUUGUUAUAGUAGCUGGACAUUUUAUCCAAAAAUUCAUCACAGAGUUUCAGAUGAAGAAUUUCAGAACUGUAGGUGUUGAUAUUGUCCGGUGAGGUCUUUCCAAUAAAUUCCAGGAAGGCAGUUUUGUUAAAACAUGCAUAAAAUGCCAGGUACACAAAUUGUACAAUGUCCUUGUUAGACAGCAGUAGACCCCCCCUAAUUUCAUUAAUCAUCUGGUCAAUCUUUUCAUUUUCUAGAGUGUCUAUGUUGAGUUUAGUUUCUACAUAUUCUGCAAACAAAGGCACACUGUCCAGGAUAGAGCUUGAGGAAAAGAACAGCCCAAGUUCCUGAAGACUGGACACAUCAAUGAGAGAGUGUCCAAGCUCCCCGCAGAAAAGUCUAGCCAAGUGCAUGAGGGUCUCAACGGUACAAGCAUGUUUAUAAAAGUAAUAAGAGGCGAUGACCAGGGUAAAGGUCAAGUCAUCCUGUCCAAAGGUUGUAAUGAACCAUUGUGUGGAAGAUGUUGUCUUUAACAGUUUUCUCAAAAAAUUGAUUAAUUUUGACUGGUACCAUCUAACCAUUUCCAGAAAAGUGCCCUCUUUCUCCCCUCUGUUAUCUAGACUCAUUAUCAAUUUUAAAAUUGGCAAUAUUUGAGCUUUGAGGUGAGAAUAAUCUAGGCAAGAUGCUACCUGCCCGCUGGUUAGAGGCCUGCCAUUAAACAAAAACUGUUUGGCAUCAUCGCAGGAAAUGUCAACUUUAAACAGUUCAAAGUAUUUUUUUUCCUUAUUGGGCCUGUUUAGAGGUAGGCACAUAGAGAUGCUGCUGAUGUUUUUUAGACCAGAAAUACUAAAGCAGUCAUGAAUCAAAGAGGUGAAUUUAUAUUCAGUUGCGCCCUCGUGUGUGAUUAAAUUCACAACAGCGUCUAUAACAUCAAUAUCUGUAGAAAAUAUACACCUGACAGUAUCUGGCGAUACAAGGCAUGAAUUGCUGUGGUAUCUGGCCAUUUGGGAAACCCGGUGUACCUUACAAGAGGCUCGCUGAUGUAGAAACAGAUGAGAGAAUGGAGAUGGAGAUCAGGCUGGGUAUGCCCCCGGGGGUGUUGGCGGCCGACCUGAUUAGGAGCACCAAGGAUAAGCAGGUCCUGGAGCAACUCUAUCUUCUGGCCGUGCAGGCAAAUAAUUUAACAGAGCACAUCAAGAGAUUUACCUUGGGUGAGAUACCAGAAGAAUGUAAAAAUGUUACCAGAUCUCAAUUGGAAAAAUUAAAGUCUGUCCAACACAUAAUUUGGAACACAAUGAUAUCAUUGGCUGCUGGGGCAAUAAGUGUAGAUGAGGCCACACUUCCAGCCCUGCUGGACAAGAGGGCAGAGGAAACGGUGGCUCUUCUCGAGAUGGAGAAAAUAGCCACAGCAGUCAAACUGGAUGAGACGGCCGCAUGGGCCACUGACAUUGCUGGUAUUGUAUCUAGCCAACCUUUGGCCACGCCCCCAAGUGAGUCACCCGACCAAAUAGCACUGAAAAAAGCCACACAACUUUCAAAUGCUGUUUAUUGAAACUGGUCACACACAUCAUUUUGUGUGCAGUUUUAUUAAUUCACCCCACUUGACCCAAACCCCCGCCCCUCCCUAGAAGGCUUUCCUGGCCUCUGUUUGCUGUAUCGCCUAUUCUUUUCUUCAGCAAUUUCAGACUUGUCUGCAGCUUCGUGCGGAACCCUAAUAAACUGUACAACAGCUAAACCCGGUAUGUCCAUUGAGCAUUCUUUGCUUGUUAACAGCUGCAGCAGGGAGGGACUAUAAGAUUUAGAAAUAAAUACUAUUUGGGCUAUUCUGAUGCCUUGAGGGAUAAUUAUGGGUUCUGUUGUCAGAUUAUGGAGUGUCAAUGAAAAUUUUUCAGCCAUGUUGAUACCGGUAGGUGUCACUAGUAUUCCUCUACAGGCGAUGCCAGACCUGCCAAGUACCACUGGGGUAAAUUCUGGAGCAAUGCCAGAUAAAUGGGUCAAAUCAAACUGGAAGGUGUGUCGAGUCUUUGGUAGCAGACACAGGUCCUCAGAGGCUCUGAAAUCAAAUCCUGCAUCUUCGUCAUAUACUGGGUUCUUUAGGAGGUGGUCAUCUGUUAUGACAGGAACCGUGUAGCUCACAGGCAGGAUAUAGAUGGUCAAUUGGCCCGGUUGAAUCUCCACCGUGCUCUGAGCCGCCGUUGCCAGGAUAACAGAGAUUUCACCCCGGUAGCCGGGGUCAAUCAGUCCAGUGUGGCCGGUGACGAGACUGUUGGCACAAAUCGCAUUUAGGAUCAAGGGAAAUCCGCUUGUUUUCUGGAUAAACAGACCAAGAGGCACUUUUGUUCCUUCGCUGGGUUGGACAGAUAUAGGUGUGAUGUUUUGAAAUUUUAGUCUGGUCCCAGGAUCCAGGUCUGUGCCUUGUGUAGUUAGGGCCCAUCCAUGAGUGCACUCUAAAAAGUGCUUGGGCACAAAGGAGUAUUCCACUUUCAUGGCAAAUAAUUGCUCUGUAAAUGAUCUCCAAUAUAUAAGACGAGAGGAGACUUUUCUUGGUAAAGUCUUGGGUCCUGUACCACCUAUUUUAUAGCUGUUUAAAAAUGCAGGUCCUGGUCGUGGUUCUUUUUUUGAUGUGUGCCUUUGUCUGUGGGAUCACCCAAGAAACCACACCUACUCCAAAACCUGAUGACUCAUCUGACUUCUAUGGUCACGGAUGCAACGCUGACACAUACGUCCCUCAGUGGGGGAGUGUCUCUAGUGUGUUGGCAAUAAUUAAUGGGUCUAUAGUCACAGUGUCUAGUGGUGUCUUUUUGAUCUACGCAUGCUUUUCAAAAUUUCUUACUACCAUGACCUCAUAAUGUUGGGAGGAUAAUAUUUAAGCAGUGCCCUGGAGACAACCUGCACCCUUGCUCAACUUGUUGUUAUUCUCCCUGAGCGAUGGCGUCCAAAAAGCCUGAUAAAACCUAUGAAGAAAUGGUCAAGGAAGUAGAAAGGCUUAAACUGGAGAAUAAAACACUUAAACAAAAGGUUAAGUCUUCAGGCGCUGUCUCAUCAGAUGAUAGCAUCUUGACAGCUGCCAAGAGAGAAAGUAUCAUUGUCUCUUCAUCCAGAGCACUAGGAGCAGUGGCUAUGAGAAAAAUCGAGGCUAAAGUCAGAUCCCGGGCGGCCAAAGCUGUUACAGAGCAGGAACUAACCUCUCUUCUCCAAUCGCUGACCCUGAGAGUUGACGUGUCUAUGGAGGAAACUACUGUGGGUGCCAGCGGAGGGAUUGGCCCAUCCUCUCAAACAGAGACCAAGAAAAGAAGACCCAGGUCCAAAUCAAGACACAGACAUGAUCAUGAAUAAAAAGAAACACUUGAAUCUAUAA